rnacentral:rRNA from 1 species
GAUGAACGCUAGCUACAGGCUUAACACAUGCAAGUCGAGGGGAAACGAUGAGAGAGCUUGCUCUCUUAGUCGUCGACCGGCGCACGGGUGAGUAACGCGUAUCCAACCUGCCUCUGACCAAGGGAUAACCCGUCGAUAGUCCGACUAAUACCUUAUGCAGUCGUCGGAAGUCAUCUGAUGCCUACGAAAGAUUUCAUCGGUGAGAGAUGGGGAUGCGUCUGAUUAGCUUGUUGGCGGAGUAACGGCCCACCAAGGAGACGAUCAGUAGGGGUUCUGAGAGGAAGGCCCCCCACAUUGGAGACGAGGCCCAGACCACAACGGUACGCAGGGCAGGAGUAUUGAGGAUUGGUGAAUGAGCGUAAGCCUGAACCAGCCAAGUAGGGUGAAGGAUGACGGCGCUAGGAGUUGUCAUCUGCUCGUAAGCGGAGACAAAGUGAGGAUCGUGUCCUUGAUUGAAGGUACCGCAUGAAUAAGGACCGGCUAAUUACGUG